rnacentral:lncRNA from 1 species
AAAACCUUGCUGGAUCCACCCCCGAAUAUAAAAAGUCUUCCUUAAUUUAAAUUAAUUGGCAAACAAGGUUGUGUUGCUACUUGCUUUGGUCAGGAAAAUAUUUAAUAAUUUAUGUGAUUUAAAGUCAAAAUACAACCACUUCCACUAUUGUUUAGUGGACACCCAUUAAUACUGCCAAGAAUAAGCCAAAAAAAAUUUGGCCGUUUUAACAGGGUGGCUGUCAGUAACAGGCUAUCUUUAUAAGAAAAUGUAUUGUCUUUGCUUUUUCGGGGACAAAAAUAAGUGGCCGUAAUAACAAGCUGACUGCAUUAAUGGGGUGGCCGUAAGGCAGGGUUCCAUUGUAGUCUGUUGUCAUUCCCUGAAUUUUGUUCUGUAUUGCUGUGAAUCUAAUGAAAUGUUCAUCCUUGGUUACAAUUAUUGCAAAUUGUUACACAAAAAUAGGGAAAACUAAAUGUUAUCACCAUAUUUGCCCAGAGGUGUAGCUACGGGAGGGAAUGCGGGGUCCUGACACCCCCCCCCCC